rnacentral:rRNA from 1 species
UACGAAGGGGGCUAGCGUUGCUCGGAAUCACUGGGCGUAAAGCGCACGUAGGCGGCUUCUCAAGUCAGGGGUGAAAUCCUGGAGCUCAACUCCAGAACUGCCUUUGAUACUGAGGGGCUCGAGUCCGGGAGAGGUGAGUGGAACUGCGAGUGUAGAGGUGAAAUUCGUAGAUAUUCGCAAGAACACCAGUGGCGAAGGCGGCUCACUGGCCCGGUACUGACGCUGAGGUGCGAAAGCCAGGGGAGCAAACGGG